rnacentral:tRNA from 1 species
GCCUGGGUGGCUCAGUCAGUUGAGCAUCCGACUUCAGCUCAGGCCAUGAUCUCAUGGUUCAUGGGAUCGAGCCCCAUGUCAGGCU